CGGGACGGGUGAGUAACGCGUGGGUAACCUGCCUCAUACAGGGGGAUAACAGUUAGAAAUGGCUGCUAAUACCGCAUAAGACCACAGUACUGCAUGGUACAGUGGUAAAAACUCCGGUGGUAUGAGAUGGACCCGCGUCUGAUUAGGUAGUUGGUGAGGUAACGGCCUACCAAGCCGACGAUCAGUAGCCGACCUGAGAGGGUGACCGGCCACAUUGGGACUGAGACACGGCCCAG
rnacentral:rRNA from 1 species